rnacentral:rRNA from 1 species
GACGAACGCUGGCGGCGUGCUUAACACAUGCAAGUCGAACGGAAAGGCCCUGCUUUUGUGGGGUGCUCGAGUUGCGAACGGGUGAGUAACACGUGAGUAACCUGCCCUUGACUUUGGGAUAACUUCAGGAAACUGGGGCUAAUACCGGAUAGGAGCUCCUGCUGCAGGGUGGGGGUGGGAAGGUUUAGGCGGUUGGGGCUGGACUCGCGGCUUAUCAGCUCGUUGGUUGGGUAGUGGCUUGCCAAGGCUUGGACGGGUGGCCGGCCUGCGAGGGUGACAGGCCACAUCGAGACUGCGAUACGGCGCAGACGCGUACAGGUGGGAACGGUGGGGAAGAUUGUACAAUGGGAGGGAGCCUGAUGCGGCGGCGCCGUGUGGGGUAUGACGGCCUUCCGGUAGUGAACCGCAUCCGCCUGUGACGAAGCGUGAGUGACGGUAAUGGGAGAAGAAGCACCGGCUAACUACGUG